UGGGUGCCUGUUUCUUUGGGUGCCUGUUUCUUUGGUGCCUGUUUCUUUGGGUGCCUGUUUCUUUGGGUGCCUGUUUCUUUGGGUGCCUGUUUCUUUGGGUGCCUGUUUCUUCUUCGGGUGCCUGUUUCUUCGGGUGCCUGUUUCUUCGGGUGCCUGUUUCUUCGGGUGCCUGUUUCUUUGGGUGCCUGUUUCUUUGGGUGCCUGUUUCUUCGGGUGCCUGUUUCUUCGGGUGCCUGUUUCUUCGUUCCUCCUUUGUUUUUGUUUCAUUUUUCUUCAUGUUUUUCAGAGAAACAAGAGGACUGACAAUGAAUUCAGAUGUUAGUAUUGUCUAAUUGAUGUGUGAAUGUCAUCUUUGUUGUUAUCACCUCCUACAGGUGUGUAGGAGCAACGUUUGCACAUUUCUCUUUUUACCCAUAAAGCCAUGGUGCUUUCCUGACGCGAAGGGAAUGUACUUCCUGUUGACGGAUUUUUAAACCCCAAUCACGGAGCCACCCCCCUUUUUUUUUUUAUAGUGUCAAAGGUCAAAUUGAAGACCGGCAGUGGCCGUCUUGAACGUUUCAACUACCAGAGGAGUCCCCAAAUAGGCAUUCCCAGUAACCUGGUUCUGCGAAUGCUUUCAACAUUCAUUUAAUGAGAUGGUCCUCAGCUAGUCCAAGGACUCAGCGUUUUACUGGGCCUGAAACGAGUCGUCUUAAGGACCCCUGUCUGCCCCAUGUCCAGCCUGUAGGUCAUGUUUUACUGUGUGAUAAUACUGAUUUUACAUGCCUCUGUGUUUGACUUUGUACCCCUCACCUUAGAUAUUAUUUAGUUAUACCAGCAAAAUACACAAUGCAAAAUGAAUCUGUUCCUGAAACUGUCUUAUUUGCAACUUGUUCUUAAUGUCCCUCCUUCUGUGUUGUCUGUUACUUGUGGUAUUUUAUGAUACACAUGUUUACUUGGAAAACAAACAAAAAAAACGGCUUUAAAAUUUAUGGGUUUCAUUUUAUAGUUGGAUUUUACUGCAAUAUUGAAAUGAUUAAGUUAUGCAAUUCUGUCAGAUAAUUUUGUUUUUAAAAUGAUCAAUGCUCAUUUUUCCUCAGUAACGUGCCUCACAACAAGCCGUCACAUGCAGUUUCACGAUGACAUUUGUAUAAUGAAAAACCAAGCUUUAAUAAAUAAGUCCAUGUUGAAUCUGUAUUCUCACACUCUUGGCCAAC
ensembl:lncRNA